GUGGGGAAUAUUGCACAAUGGAGGAAACUCUGAUGCAGCGACGCCGCGUGAGUGAAGAAGUAUUUCGGUAUGUAAAGCUCUAUCAGCAGGGAAGACAGUGACGGUACCUGACUAAGAAGCUCCGGCUAAAUACGUGCCAGCAGCCGCGGUAAUACGUAUGGAGCAAGCGUUAUCCGGAUUUACUGGGUGUAAAGGGAGUGUAGGUGGUAUCACAAGUCAGAAGUGAAAGCCCGGGGCUCAACCCCGGGACUGCUUUUGAAACUGUGGAACUGGAGUGCAGGAGAGGUAAGUGGAAUUCCUAGUGUAGCGGUGAAAUGCGUAGAUAUUAGGAGGAACACCAGUGGCGAAGGCGGCUUACUGGACUGUAACUGACACUGAGGCUCGAAAGCGUGGGGAGCAAACAGGAUUAGAAACCCGAGUAGUCC
rnacentral:rRNA from 1 species